GAGGAAUAUUGGUCAAUGGGCGAGAGCCUGAACCAGCCAAGUAGCGUGCAGGAAGACGGCCCUAUGGGUUGUAAACUGCUUUUAUGUGGGGAUAAAGUGAGCUACGUGUAGUUUAUUGCAGGUACCACAUGAAUAAGGACCGGCUAAUUCCGUGCCAGCAGCCGCGGUAAUACGGAAGGUCCAGGCGUUAUCCGGAUUUAUUGGGUUUAAAGGGAGCGUAGGCCGUGGAUUAAGCGUGUUGUGAAAUGUAGACGCUCAACGUCUGAAUUGCAGCGCGAACUGGUUCACUUGAGUAUGCACAACGUAGGCGGAAUUCGUCGUGUAGCGGUGAAAUGCUUAGAUAUGACGAAGAACUCCGAUUGUGAAGGCAGCUUACGGGAGCACAACUGACGCUGAAGCUCGAAGGUGCGGGUAUCAAACAGGAUUAGAUACCCUGGUAGUCCGCACAGUAAACGAUGGAUGCCCGUUGUUAGUUCACUUAAGAAUUAGCGACCAAGCGAAAGCAUUAAGCAUCCCACCUGGGGAGUACGCCGGCAACGGUG
rnacentral:rRNA from 1 species